GUCUCUCCAACAGUUUGUGUGCUGUUUCUCUGUGAUCGUCGCUCUCUUGUGCAAAGAUGCUCAUUCACAGCAGCCCGCAUGCGGCAUGGCUGCAAAAAAUAGCAGAAUUGUAGGAGGUCAAGAUGCACCCCCAGGAAGUUGGCCCUGGCAAGUAGCUUUAUCCAUUUUUGGCAGUUUAACCUGUGGAGGGUCCCUCAUCACCGACCAGUG